AAAAUAGAGAACAGAAUGAUAAGAGAUACAAGUUAAAAGAUUCUCACAAUUUAGAGCUGUUACUUUUCUUUUCUUUCCUUUCCUUGUUUUUUCCAUUUUCCUAUCCUU
rnacentral:ribozyme from 1 species